rnacentral:lncRNA from 10 species
CGGGCGUGGUGGUGGGCGCCUGUAGUCCCAGCUACUCUGGAGGUUGAGGCUGGAGAAUGGCGUGAACCCGGGAGGCGGAGCUUGCAGUGAGCCGAGACGCGCCACUGCACUCCAGCCUGCGCAACAGAGCGAGACUCCAUCUCAAAAGAAAAGAAAAGAAAAGAAAAGAAACUUUUAAUGAACACUUAACAGGUGUUCAGACUCAAACUGGGCCACACCACUGGCUUUCUGGGUCUCCUGUUUGCAGAUGGCAGACUGAGGAGUUCUCAGCUUCCAUAAUCAUGGUCUCACUUCUUGCCCAGGCUGAAGUGCAGUGGCACAAUCUCAGCUCACUGCAGCCUCUGCCUCCCGGAUUCAAGGAAUUCUCCUGCCUCAGCCUCCCAAGUAGCUGGGAUUACAGGUAUGUGCCACCACGUCUG